rnacentral:lncRNA from 1 species
AGUCCGGGUGAAACUUGGGCUCCAACCGACUGCUCCCUCCUGAAGGAGGCCGGUUGUCCGAAGGCCCCCACCUGGGGUGUGGAUUGCUCUAGGAUUGAGGAAACCUCUGCAAGAAACAAACGGCAGAUGCCUCCCUUGAUCUCUGCUCCCACUUCUCUCCCCAAAGCGAACCCUUCCAGGGCCCUGCGGGCGUGAAGAUUCUCAGCAAGUGGCAGCCAACUGCAGUUGUCUCCAGGAAGGUGCAGUGAUGGGACCCAGGGGUGGAGCAGCGGCCACGUCAGGGCCAGCACCGCCCAGCCCCUGUGUUGUCCCCACCAGCAGUACCCUCGUUUGACGAUGGCAGGUGCAUUUGAAGGAGUGACCAGUUUGCAGGGAACUGCACCAACCUUCUAAAGCACAGCACCAGACGUUUCCAGACCUUCCUGGCGUCCCAUCAUCUGGGGAAUCUGUUAAAAUGAAGGUUUCCAAGUCUCAUGCCCAGGGAGUCAGGCCCAGUAGUUCUGGGGUAGGGCCCGGGAACCUGCUUUUUUUUUUUUUUUUUUUUUUUUUUUUUGAGACGGAGUCUGGCUCUGUCGCCCAGGCUGGAGUUUCUCCGCUCACCGCAAGCUCCGCCUCCUGGGUUCACGCCAUUCUCCUGCCUCAGCCUCCCGAGUAGCUGGGACCACAGGUGCCCGCCAUCAUGCCCGGCCAAUUUUUUUUUUUUGUAUUUUAGUAGAGACAGGGUUUCACCGUGUCAGCCAGGAUGGUCUCGAUCUCCUGACCUCGUGAUCCGCCCGUCUCGGCCUCCCAAAGUGCUGGGAUUACAGGCGUGAGCCACCACACCCAGCGGGAACCUGCAUUUUACCUUACUUUAGAUCUGAUUUGAGCCUAAACGAUGAGUUUUCUGUGUCGACUUAGCAGGACUCUGGUACCCAGUGAUUCAUCUAACACUCAUCUAGGUGUUGCUGGGAGGGGACAUUGUAUAUGUGAUUCCAUCUACACUCAGUUGACUUUAAGUAACAGAGAUCCCCUCUGUGAUGUGGUGGCCUCGUCCAAUGAGCUGACAGCCUGAGGAGCAGAAACUGAGGGUUCCCAGAGAAGAAGAGAGUCAGCCUCGGGGUGGCAGCUCAGCUCUCCAUGCUGGCCUGCUGCAGGCACUUUGGAUUUACUAGCCCCAUAACCACACGAGCCAAUCAUUUUAAAUACACUUCUUCAUAUAC